rnacentral:lncRNA from 1 species
AUGCCUUUGUCUUUCUUGUACCUAGUAAAUGAUUACAAAGGAAAUGUCACUUCAUGUAAGUCAGUUGCCACGAUUUUUUCAAAAGAAACAUAUCUUCCUCACAGUUGUCCUAACCACGCAGCUUUGUGCUGCUUCAAGUUGCUCAAACUGAGCCGGGAGGAAGCCCUUAACUGCUUAAAAGGCCAGGGACAGAAACGGAGUAUUGCACAACCCUCCACGACCGCGCGGCUUCGCUUCCAAAUCUGGCCUUCGUAUCAUCCCAAGGCGGGAGCCGUUCGUCGCUCCACAGGCGGCAGCCGGUUCUCCCCUCAAAAGCGGGGGGUUUCUUCUUCCGGGCUUGGGGGGCCCCUCCCCUGGCCCAAGGUUCCCCUGAAAAACCGAUCCCCGCUGGGCGCGGGGCCGGCGAAGUUGGGGCGGGGGGGGAUCCCUAUUGGUCCAGCUGGGGAAACCGGGGUCUCCCCCCGGGGCGACUCCCGCAGCAGGAAUCCCACCGGGCCCGGGGGAACCGAAGGUCCCUGGGGUCUUCCAGCCGCUCCCCUCCCCCCGCGGCCCCAUUGUCUGACUUCGUCCGCCCCGGGAAACUCGUGCGCCUGCAGCUUCCCGAGCGAGGAGAGUGCGGGGCGGCGGCGGCAGCGUGGACACCGCUUGGAACGGCUACGCGGCGGCUUCGUGGACGGGGGCCGGCGCGCACGGACCGGUGGGUGCUCUCCCCGGAGCUGCGGUCUUUCACCGCGCCCCCUGCCUCGUCGGCCCGGGACCUGGCAGGCGUGGAGCGGACGGCGGUGGGGGUGGCGUGCGCGUGGUGCGGCGGUGGGGGUGGGGCGGGGCGGGGUGGGGAGAUGCCUGUCUCCUGACAAAGGAGAACGAGUGGGACACGCUGAGCCGGCCCGCCCCGCCUGGAGGGGAGCGGGAGGGGGAGUGUCGCGAAGGGAAGGGGCGGGCCUUUCAUUCACUCUCUGCCCCUCGGCCGCCGCCGGAGCGGAAGGGCGGGGUCUCGCGCUCCCCGGAGUGAGGAGCUGGGGAGGCGGCGCGGCGUGGGGGCGGAGCCCGCGGGCGCGCGUCCCGAGGCGUAGGCUACGUCGUCACGUCAGCGCGGGAGAGAGAAAGAGAGGAGCCGACUCGGCAGGGACUGGGGGACGGGGCCGAGAGAGCGAGAGAGGGAGGGAGUGA